rnacentral:misc_RNA from 1 species
UCCCUGUUACCAGGGCAGUCUCGUUAGAAAAAUCCAACUAACGACAAGGGUUGCGCUCGUUAUGGGACUUAACCCAACAUCUCACGACACGAGCUGACGACGGCCAUGCAUCACCUGUCAUCUGGUUCCAAAAGGCACAAUUUGCUUUCGCAAAUCUUCCAGAGAUGUCAAGCCUUGGUAAGGUUCUCGGCUUAGCAUCCAAUUAAACAACACGCUCCACCGCUUGUGCGGGUCCCCGUCAAUUCCUUUGAGUUUUAGCCUUGCGACCGUACUCCCCAGGCGGGAUGCUUAACGCGUUAGCUUCGCUUCUGAAGGGGUCGAUACCUCCAAACAGCUAGCAUCCAUAGUUUACGGCGUGGACUAC